UUGCACGCUGGCGGCAGGCCUAACACAUGCAAGUCGAGCGGAUGAAGGGAGCUUGCUCCUGGAUUCAGCGGCGGACGGGUGAGUAAUGCCCAGGAAUCUGCCUGGUAGUGGGGGAUAACGUCCGGAAACGGGCGCUAAUACCGCAUACGUCCUGAGGGAGAAAGUGGGGGAUCUUCGGACCUCACGCUAUCAGAUGAGCCUAGGUCGGAUUAGCUAGUUGGUGGGGUAAAGGCCUACCAAGGCGACGAUCCGUAACUGGUCUGAGAGGAUGAUCAGUCACACUGGAACUGAGACACGGUCCAGACUCCUACGGGAGGCAGCAGUGGGGAAUAUUGGACAAUGGGCGAAAGCCUGAUCCAGCCAUGCCGCGUGUGUGAAGAAGGUCUUCGGAUUGUAAAGCACUUUAAGUUGGGAGGAAGGGCAGUAAGUUAAUACCUUGCUGUUUUGACGUUACCAACAGAAUAAGCACCGGCUAACUUCGUG
rnacentral:rRNA from 1 species